CAAAAGCACUGGGGGAAUCCUUGAAAAGGACUGAGAGAAGAGUGCGCACUCUGAUACCCUUAUCACCUGAACAGGUUGGAACCUGCGGAGGGAAGUGACAUGCCGAUUUA
rnacentral:ncRNA from 2 species